AGGAAGAGUGAGCGGUUGAAGUUUGGUGAAAGGAGAGAGAGAGACAGACCAGACACGUUUUGGUAGAAUAGAGUUUCGACGUAUCCAAUCAUUUCCAAAGGUAACGAAAAUUUCAGGGAUUGUAGGUAAGACUUAUAUCUAGUUGUGGCCUUUUACGGAUAUUGAUUUGAGUCAAUAUUCUAAGAGUUAUCUCUUUUUUCGUGAGCUAUUCUGUUUCAGACGCGUUUUGGAUCGGUGUGUAUUCAAAGAGAGAUCGUGAGGGAACCCUUUGUCUGAACGUUACGAAAUUUUGUGGUUAGCAAAUCAGGACAUUUAGGAGAAGCUAUUCAACAGUGGGAUUUGAAAUUGGAUGGGUGAUUUGAGUUACUGUUGACGUGAGGAAAAAGACAACUGUGGUUGUGUGGUGUUGUUCUUUGUUCAAAAAUCAUCCCUAAGCCGAGGUGAGUGCGUGACCAUGAGAUUGUUUGUUGUGACGUGUAGGUUGGAUUUUUGAUGGAUCCAGAAUUGAAAUCCGUGAGAUGGUUGUGUUAUUGGAUGAUUGUCAUUGGUUUUGUUUAUUUUCAUGAAUUAUGUGUUGAUUUGU